rnacentral:rRNA from 1 species
ACCUCAUGAUUUAGAGGAAGGUGAAGUCGUAACAAGGUUUCUGUAGGUGAACCUGCGGAAGGAUCAUUA